rnacentral:misc_RNA from 1 species
UCAUUGAUAUAAUAUGACGCAUGCGCGCCAUGCUACUACGUCAUGUAGAUCCAGUUACAUAAAAUCUUUGGCAAAGAUUCACCACGUGCAUCCACAAAUUCCUGUGAACAGGGUAAUAUUAAAUUUGACAUAAAUAGUCUAAGGAGAAGUUAGAAACGGGAUUAAUUUACUAGUACGUUAAAUUAAGAUCCUUACAUCACGAGUGGGAUCGUCAAUACUGCUAUCUGCAUUUAAAACUUCACCUAAAAACCCCCCCAAAA